rnacentral:rRNA from 1 species
AGUGAACGCUGGCGGUAGGCCUAACACAUGCAAGUCGAACGGCAGCACAGUAAGAGCUUGCUCUUACGGGUGGCGAGUGGCGGACGGGUGAGGAAUACAUCGGAAUCUACUUUUUCGUGGGGGAUAACGUAGGGAAACUUACGCUAAUACCGCAUACGACCUACGGGUGAAAGCAGGGGAUCUUCGGACCUUGCGCGAUUGAAUGAGCCGAUGUCGGAUUAGCUAGUUGGCGGGGUAAAGGCCCACCAAGGCGACGAUCCGUAGCUGGUCUGAGAGGAUGAUCAGCCACACUGGAACUGAGACACGGUCCAGACUCCUACGGGAGGCAGCAGUGGGGAAUAUUGGACAAUGGGCGCAAGCCUGAUCCAGCCAUACCGCGUGAGUGAAGAAGGCCUUCGGGUUGUAAAGCCCUUUUGUUGGGAAAGAAAAGCAGCAGGUUAAUACCCCACUGUUCUGACGGUACCCAAAGAAUAAGCACCGGCUAACUUCGUG